rnacentral:tRNA from 1 species
UUCUCUUACCUAAUAUUUAAUUUCGACUUAAAUUUUGAUUAAUUUAUUAAUCUAAGAGAAA